rnacentral:rRNA from 1 species
UACGGGGGGGGCAAGCGUUGUUCGGAAUUACUGGGCGUAAAGGGCUCGUAGGCGGCCAACUAAGUCAGACGUGAAAUCCCUCGGCUUAACCGGGGAACUGCCGUCCAAACUGCUUCGCUUGAGACCGGGAGAGGUGAGUGGAAUUCCCAGUGUAGCGGUGAAAUGCGUAGAUAUUGGGAGGAACACCAGUGGCGAAGGCGGCUCACUGGACCGGUACUGACGCUGAUGCGCGAAAGCGUGGGGAGCAAACGGG